GGGCUAUUCCCUUGGGCAGCACGCAUACUGAAAUUGGAAUGAUUUGAAGGUUAGCAUGACCCCUGGUCAAGGAUGACAUGCAAAUUCAUGAAGUGUUCCAUGUUUCA